rnacentral:rRNA from 1 species
ACCUACGGGGGGCAGCAGUGAGGAAUAUUGGUCAAUUGUCGGGAGACUGAACCAGCCAAGCCGCGUGAGGGAUGAAGGUACAGAGUAUCGUAAACCUCUUUUGUCAGGGAACAAAGGCGGGGACGCGUCCCCGGAUGAGUGUACCUGAAGAAAAAGCAUCGGCUAACUCCGUGCCAGCAGCCGCGGUAAUACGGAGGAUGCGAGCGUUAUCCGGAUUUAUUGGGUUUAAAGGGUGCGCAGGCGGGCUGUUAAGUCAGCGGUCAAAGCCCGGGGCUCAACCCCGGCCCGCCGGUGAAACUGGCAGG